rnacentral:rRNA from 1 species
GAUGAACGCUGGCGGCGUGCCUAAUACAUGCAAGUCGAGCGAAUGGAUUAAGAGCUUGCUCUUAUGAAGUUAGCGGCGGACGGGUGAGUAACACGUGGGUAACCUGCCCAUAAGACUGGGAUAACUCCGGGAAACCGGGGCUAAUACCGGAUAACAUUUUGAACCGCAUGGUUCGAAGUUGAAAGGCGGCUUCGGCUGUCACUUAUGGAUGGACCCGCGUCGCAUUAGCUAGUUGGUGAGGUAACGGCUCACCAAGGCAACGAUGCGUAGCCGACCUGAGAGGGUGAUCGGCCACACUGGGACUGAGACAUGGCCCAGACUCCUACGGGAGGCAGCAGUAGGGAAUCUUCCGCAAUGGACGAAAGUCUGACGGAGCAACGCCGCGUGAGUGAUGGAGGCUUUCGGGUCGUAAAACUCUGUUGUUAGGGAAGAACAAGUGCUAGUUGAAUAAGCUGGCACCUUGACGGUACCUAACCAGAAAGCCACGGCUAACUACGUGCCAGCCGCCGCCGUAA